AUGACAAGAAAAUCUCUUGUUUCUUCUUUGUCAUUGAAAGUCUCUUUAAUAAGACAUGAUUCCAUCGCUUCAACUUCUUCUUCUUUCUCUCCUUCUCAUUCACCUUCUUCUCAGCCAAGUGAGGGUAUGAAAAAUCCAAGAGUAUUCCAUGUGACAUCUUAUGGUGCAGACCCAACAGGAAAUUCAGAUAGUACUGAAGCUAUCCUUGUAGCCAUAGCAGAUGCAUCCAAUGUUCUAAGUGAAUGA